GUAAUGGACAUGGCACCAAUUAUGGACAUUUUUUUCGUUGAUCGAAUUUAUUAAGCAACUGUCGCAACAUUUUGAACUGGCAACACUAAAAUCACAAUCAAUAGACGUUUGGGCUAUCAUUUUGACACACGUCACCAAAAUCGGCCACUUUGUUUUAAGAUAGCUGCGAAGUGAAAUCUCGUUGCGCGCGGUGGUCAUGAAAAUCCGUUUUUACUAUUGAAAUCGUUAAGGAAAUGGCACCAAAACAAAAUUACACCCCCAAACAAAUGGGGAGAGCAUUGGAUGCUGUAAAUGCUGGGGGAAAAGAUAAGCACGGCUGCCCUCCGGUUUGAUGUUCCUCGAAUAACCUGGGUUACCUCCGCCAUAUCGAAUAACAAAUGAUCGAAAGUAAAAAUAUCAAACACGUUUCAUCGAAAACUCAAAACACCGAACGAUUAAAAUAUAGAAUUUACAAAAUGAUCGAAAUAAUCUUCAAAAGAUCUAACGAUUAAACUAUCGAAAAUCGAUCUUAUUGCAUAGUUUAAUAGGAAGAUGGAGGUAAGGGUUCCUUGUUGACUAUGGUACCCUAGAAAUUAAAAAAAAAGUUUUAUUUAUAUUCAUCAUAAUUAUGACAUUUAGUUUAAACUUCUUUAUUGAUUUUCGAUAUUUUAAUCAUUCGAUAUUUUGAACAUUUGAUCAUUUGUAAAUUCGAUAUUUUGAUCGUUCGAAGUCGAGGGAUGACGUUACCGAAGAAGGCAUUCGCAAAUGGUUCGAUGAAAUAACGAGAUACAUAGAAGUUAUAGGUUUAAAAGAUGUUUUAGAUGAACCCAGUCGGACAUUUAAUACCGACGGAAGCGCAUUUUGUCACCAGAUGGUUGAUUGAAAGUCUGAUACUUGAAAAUCGAAGACUGAUCAUGUUGAAAGUUCAAAUAGCAAUAAUAAAAGUUGAUUUGUGA